CUGGCGGCGUGCUUAACACAUGCAAGUCGAACGCGAAAGGGACUUCGGUCCUGAGUAAAGUGGCGCACGGGUGAGUAACGCGUAGAUAACCUGUCUUCAUGUCUGGAAUAAUACGCCGAAAGGGGUACUAAUACCGGAUAUUCUUGCUUUUCAUAAGUUAUGCAAGCAAAGGUGGCCUCUGCAUAUGCUACUGCAUGAAGAGGGGUCUGCGUACCAUUAGCUAGUAGGUGGGGUAAUGGCCUACCUAGGCGACGAUGGUUAGCGGGUCUGAGAGGAUGAUCCGCCACACUGGCACUGGAACACGGGCCAGACUCCUACGGGAGGCAGCAGUGAGGAAUAUUGCGCAAUGGGGGAAACCCUGACGCAGCGACGCCGCGUGAGUGAGGAAGGCCUUCGGGUCGUAAAGCUCUGUCAAGAGGAAAGAAGUGUACAAUGGCUAAUACCUGUUGUAUUUGACGGUACCUCUAAAGGAAGCACCGGCUAACUUCGUGCCAGCCGCCGC
rnacentral:rRNA from 1 species